rnacentral:miRNA from 1 species
ACACACACACACACACACACAUAUAUAUAUAUAUAUAUAUAUAUAUAUAUAUAUAUAUAUGUGUGUGAAUGAGAGAGGU